ACAGAGAGUGACCAUGGAAGAGCUGCAAAGCCAAAGGGUUUUGUACUGAGCACAGCCCUCAUUCCCUGUUACCCUGUGGAGCUCCGUGGGAGGAGCUGACCCAUUUUGUGGUGGAAGAAAAAUUGUGAAAUUUGAGGAUCAAAUUCCAGAGCAUUCAACCACGGAAUUUUUGUAUCGUCUUUAAGCAUCAGCCCUGAAACUACAAGAGGUUUUUAGCAGAGUGAAAGUGAUGCCCUCAGCCUCUGAGUUGCAUGCUGUAGGUGCUACUUGCCAUGAAAGAUUGCUGUUGCUUUUCUUCACUUUGCACUCAAAGUGCUACAGGAAAUCUCAAAGGAAAAAGGGGAAACUUCACUGGAUAGAUCUCCGCACUACAUACUUAAUAAGACACACUGUCUCUCAUACAUAUAAUUGAUGGUUCAAACAACUAUCCCGACAUUUCAGUACUGUCCUGUAGUUGCCAAGAAGCCUUUUUGUAAAUAUUUGCUUUUACAAAAAGGAUGUAGCCAAAUCACUUUUCAAGUUUCCAUGACUGCUGUUGUGUUU
ensembl:lncRNA